rnacentral:rRNA from 1 species
GACGAACGCUGGCGGCGUGCUUAACACAUGCAAGUCGUACGGUAAGGCCCUUUCGGGGGUACACGAGUGGCGAACGGGUGAGUAACACGUGAGUAACCUGCCCACAACUUUGGGAUAACGCUAGGAAACUGGUGCUAAUACUGGAUAUGUGCUCCUGCUGCAUGGUGGGGGUUGGAAAGCUCCGGCGGUUGUGGAUGGACUCGCGGCCUAUCGGCUUGUUGGGGGGGUAGUGGCCUACCAAGGCGGCGACGGGUAGCCGGCCUGGGGGGGUGACCGGCCACAUUGGGACUGAGGUACGGCCCAGACUCCUACGGGAGGCAGCAGUGGGGAAUAUUGCACAAUGGGCGCAAGCCUGAUGCAGCAGCGCCGCGUGCGGGAUGACGGCCUUCGGGUUGUAAACCGCUUUCAGCAGGGACGAAGCUUUUUGUGACGGUACCUGCAGAAGAAGCACCGGCUAACUACGUG